rnacentral:rRNA from 1 species
GACGAACGCUGGCGGCGUGCCUAAUACAUGCAAGUAGAACGCUGAAGGAGGAGCUUGCUUCUCCGGAUGAGUUGCGAACGGGUGAGUAACGCGUAGGUAACCUGCCUGGUAGCGGGGGAUAACUAUUGGAAACGAUAGCUAAUACCGCAUAAGAGUAGAUGUUGCAUGACAUUUGCUUAAAAGGUGCAAUUGCAUCACUACCAGAUGGACCUGCGUUGUAUUAGCUAGUUGGUGGGGUAACGGCUCACCAAGGCGACGAUACAUAGCCGACCUGAGAGGGUGAUCGGCCACACUGGGACUGAGACACGGCCCAGACUCCUACGGGAGGCAGCAGUAGGGAAUCUUCGGCAAUGGACGGAAGUCUGACCGAGCAACGCCGCGUGAGUGAAGAAGGUUUUCGGAUCGUAAAGCUCUGUUGUAAGAGAAGAACGAGUGUGAGAGUGGAAAGUUCACACUGUGACGGUAUCUACCA